UUCCAGACUCCUACGGGAGGCAGCAGUGAGGAAUAUUGGUCAAUGGCCGAGAGGCUGAACCAGCCAAGUCGCGUGAGGGAAGACGGCCCUACGGGUUGUAAACCUCUUUUGUCGGGGAGCAAAGCGAGUCACGUGUGACUCAUUGAGAGUACCCGAAGAAAAAGCAUCGGCUAACUCCGUGCCAGCAGCCGCGGUAAUACGGAGGAUGCGAGCGUUAUCCGGAUUUAUUGGGUUUAAAGGGUGCGCAGGCGGAGGUGCAAGUCAGCGGUCAAAUUGCGGGGCUCAACCCCGUACUGCCGUUGAAACUGCAUCCCUUGAGUGCGCGAGAAGUAUGCGGAAUGCGUGGUGUAGCGGUGAAAUGCGUAGAUAUUAGGAGGAACACCAGUGGCGAAGGCGGCUUACUGGACUGUAACUGACGUUGAGGCUCGAAAGCGUGGGGAGCAAACAGGAUUAGAUACCCCCGUAA
rnacentral:rRNA from 1 species